CACGUAGGCACCAAGCGUUAUCCGGAUUUAUUGGGCGUAAAGAGCUCGUAGGCGGUUCGGUAAGUCGGGUGUGAAAACUCUGGGCUCAACCCAGAGAGGCCACCCGAUACUGCUGUGACUAGAGUGCGGUAGGGGAGCGGGGAAUUCCUGGUGUAGCGGUGAAAUGCGCAGAUAUCGGGAGGAACACCGGUGGCGAAGGCGGUUCUCUGGGCCUUACCUGACGCUGAGGAGCGAAAGCGUGGGGAGCGAACAGG
rnacentral:rRNA from 1 species